rnacentral:rRNA from 1 species
UACGUAGGGAGCAAGCGUUGUCCGGAAUCACUGGGCGUAAAGGGUGCGUAGGCGGGUAUUUAAGUCAGGGGUGAAAUCCUGGAGCUCAACUCCAGAACUGCCUUUGAUACUGAGUAUCUUGAGUACGGGAGAGGUGAGUGGAACUGCGAGUGUAGAGGUGAAAUUCGUAGAUAUUCGCAAGAACACCAGUGGCGAAGGCGGCUCACUGGCCCGUUACUGACGCUGAGGCACGAAAGCGUGGGGAGCAAACAGG